ensembl:lncRNA LINC01081 long intergenic non-protein coding RNA 1081
AGUGUUCCAACGGCGGAGUCAUAUGAAUCAUCCUGAUGCUUAAUAAACAGAUCCCAGAAGGAGCCUGGACAUAUUAGAUCAGAACUUCCCAGGGAGCGGCCCAGGGAUCUGGAUUUCCAGUGCAUGCCCUGCGGUGACCCUCACUCCAGAAAGCUCAGGCCCCACUGAGCUCCAGUGUUCUAUCUCCAGACAUGGAUUACACCCGGGGCUACACAGCGAGACAGCGAACCUGUGCUGGGUCACCAGGUUGAGGGUGGUGGUGAGGUGGCGACACGGAGGCCCAGAGUGAGGAAGUCAUGUAUUCAAGGUGGCAGAGCUGGGAUUUGUAUAUCAUCUCUGUACCUGAGCCCCUAACCUGCAAGUCAUAAUAGGCAACGGAUCAAUGUUAUGAUGCAGUGGAGGCCCUUACCAGAAGCCAACCAGAUGCCAGCACCAUGCUCUUGGAUUUCCCAGUCUCCAGAAUGGUGCAGGUGGAGACGGAACCCUAGACACUGCUCAUCCCAAUCAGGCCCUUUCCAGGCCUGUCCCAUUCCAAUCGGGCAUCAGAUGUGGCAUUGAUCAUCAUCUACUUAACAAACGAGGCUCCCCUUUCAAUGCACUUGGGUCUCCUCUGGGCCAACCUUGGUUCUGAGAUAGCAGGUGCUGAAAUACUGCUGAAUCCUCAAAGCCAGACUAGCCAGUGCCUGGCACCUGAUGGGAAUAUGAUUUCAACGAACAGAAAUGAAGAGACCACCCAGAAAUACAGACCCAGCCUUUCAUUCUCUUAUAUUCCUUAUGUCCAACAUUUAUUGGGCCCUUACCAUGUGCUCCAUAUGGUGCUGGGUCCUGGGAGUUGGAGUUACAAACAACUAAGAUGACAGACUUUGCUCCAAGUAGGGAUUCUUGGCUCUCAGCCCCAUGGAGAAAGUCUCCUUAUCACCUUUCUGCACAGGGGAGGAAAUCGAGAUCAAAAAACUCACAGAAUCCUCCCCACAAAGCCGAGAAGCAGGAAGCAGCAACCCUCCCAGAUGAAGAAGCGAAGGCUCGGAAAAGCUAAGUAACUUCUCCAAGCUGACGCAGCUCGUGAGAGGAGGGACUGGGAUUCAAAUCCCUGCAGGGGGAGACCAGCAGCCCCGACUUCAGCCGCCAUGCCUCCUGCCUGAGAAGCUAGCUGCGAAGGUUCCAGAAGGAGACUGCCCUCCGGGAACAGAAACAGCGCAUGACUGCGACCUGUCUGCAAAAAUCUUGAUCACUUGUAAAUCCUUCUCCACCUGAUAAGUUAUCACAUUGGCUCAUGAUGUUUUUUUUCAUUCUCACCCUAUGGCGUGGAUGCUGUUACUACCCCAUUUUACAAAGGAGUAAAGUGAGGCCCAGAGAGAACAGUUAAAUCACUUCCCCAGCUUCACUCAACUCAUCUACGGUGAGUCGACGGUACACAUGCCCUUCCACAACACAAAGGUCUCCACUUUGCCACGUGUCACUCUGAUGGUUCCAGGUGCAGAUUUUGCGUCUGCUUCUUGACUUCUAAUGGCUGCACCAUUUUGCAUUGGAUGGUUAUACCAUCAUUUAUUUGACUCAUCUCCUGUGCACAAGCAUCUAGUUUAUCUGCAAACUUUUGCUACCAAAAACAAUGCUGCAAUGAAUAAAUAAGCUGAUGCCUGCUUCUA